GUUGAGCUAAUCUCGUGACCUAGGGGACUAGUUCGGAAGGUGGUUAAACUAAGGCGAGAUUGCAAUCGAGUCUUGGAUCAUCUUCAGUUGGCAUUGGAGAGCAAUUGGAGGCUUAAUUUGAGCAGGAUUGGGGCCUUGUUGAGCUGAUUAUUAGGACUUCUUGUGACUAUUUGGAGC